rnacentral:lncRNA from 1 species
UUCCAAUACUUUUCUUGCUUCAUCCAACUUUCCUUGCUCCACAAGGCUGUUAGGUGUCUCAGCACAGAGAAUACCACCAAUGAGCAUAAGAACUGCCGGAACACCUGCCAAACCCAGCGAUAUCCUCCAUCCAUGCGGAUGGAUGUUGUUGGUAAAAUAAUUCACUAGGUUUGCAAUUAAGAUUCCAGCACAAGUUGUGAACUGAAACAGUUGGUUCACUGCUCCUCGAUUCUUAGCUGGAGCCAUUUCCGAAAGAUACAAUGGAACAGCCUACACAUUUGAAUGCACCAUUAAGAAUAAUAUUUCUUUAUAAGUAACCUAUGCAUGUUACAUAUCGAGUCAGAAACAAGAAGCAAAGUUGAAACUAUAAUUACAAACAUUAUUAUGAAGUUUGUAUCCACUUAUUAUAUUGAAAAUUAAAAUGACUUUAAUAAGGUGAAUGGAGUAUUUGACUUACUUGGUUACCAAAGCCAAUGCCUCCACCAAGAAGGAUCCUGCCAAUGAUUAGCAUUGGAAUGUUCUUGGCUGCUGCAUUGAGGAUUGCCCCUGCUAGAAAGCUAAGGGCUCCCACUAUGAUGCUGGCUUUUCUUCCCUUCUUCCUUGUUAAGGAGGAAGCAAAGAAUGUCAUGAACAGUGCUGAGAUAUAAAGAGAUGAUGUGAACAGUGUGAGGACUUGGUUGUCAUAUUUGCAGUAGUCGGUCUCAUUCUGAUGCAUGUUCUUCCUCAUGUACACGUCUGGGAAGAAUUCCUUCAGAAAAUCAUCCAUGGAAGUUACCCCACCUGACACAUCACAACAUCACAUCUAAAUUUCUCAUUCUCAACGUACUUUCAGACACCAUGAAAAGAACAACACACCCAUAACAUCACAAACUUUUCUUCCAAUGAUUUUCUGAAUUUUCUACUUUCUAAUGCCUCAUAGUGACCAAUUCCAUUAGAACAAAAGACACAGUGUAAUCAUCUCAUAUUUUUUUAAAAACAUAUUUGGUAUUUAAAUUUUUUUAAAAUAAAUAUAAAAAUGAGAGAAGAUUAACCUGAAACACCAAGAUCAUAGCCAAAAAGUGAACCACCAAGUGCCCCAACAAUGCAUGUGAAGGCAAAAUAGAUAGUGAAUUUGUGGUUAUAGAGAUGAGCCCUUUUCCCACGUUCUCCUCCUUCUACUAUUCCCCCUGCCAUUGCUCUCUCUGUCACAACUUUCACUCUUCCUUUUCUGAAUACAAAAAGCUCCACCAACUUUCACUAUAUAUAUAUUAGAGCUUCAGAGUAAAUAACAGUUUACAGCCAUUAGAAAAAGAAAAUUGGUAACAGUAACAGAUACAAACAGGGAUAUAUUAACAACUAGUAGGUAAUUCUGUUGUUAAUUCAUCUAAAAUAGUUAAUACUUAAAAAGCAUAUAAAAUAUGAAAUAUAGAUUACAGAAUUGGAAGAAAAUAUUUCUUCAUGCAUAUCUUUUUCAAAUUGCUUUGUUUCUCUGUUAUCAUAUGUGGAAAAGGAUAUGUUGAAUUCUAAUAAUUGAAAUUAAUUGUUAAUUAAUAGUAUAAGUAUAUUUUAGUUUAUAUACUAAAUAGUAUAAUGUAAAUCCUAAAGUCGUUGAAGAGAUAAACUAUUUAUGGAAUUAUAACAUAUUGGUUUAUUUGAAGCCAAAUUUGUUUUAAACUUAAAUAUGAAGAAUAAAACCAGAAAAAGUUAAUAUUGAAUAUGUUGAGUUGAUUUAAUUUAAAAAAUACAAUUUAAUGUGGAGGAUGUAUCUAAUUCAAAGCACUUAUAACUAUAUCAAAUUUGGAUUGUAUCACACUUGAAUUAUAUUUGGAAAGUUUUAUGUAUAAAAUAAUUUCUAAUGAAUUUAAAGAAUUUUUUUUAAUAAAUUUAAUGAAACAGAUAUCAUAAAAUAAAAAUUGAAAACACUAUAGCUUUUACUCGUUUCCAUAAUUUAAAAUAACAUAUUUGCAAGCUUUAAAUAAUUUUUUAAAUAUAAGUAAAAGCUAAAUAAUAUUAGUACGAAACAUUGUAUGAUAUUGGAGAAAAAAGCGAAAAAAUAGUAAUAAUUUAAUAAUAGACACGUCUUAAAUAAUUAUAUACAGAUAAAUAUAUAAAAUACAAUAUAAUAUAAAAAUGGUACGUUACAUUAAUCUUAAUAAACCUGUUAUUGGAAAUAUAAAAGCACUUUACACCUAUGUAACAUAGAUACGAGCACUUUACACUUAUGUAACAUAGAAACGAGCACUGACCCACAGAGACACGGAGAUAUGUAUAAUCUCUAAAAUGCAGGACACGGGGAUACAGAUUUAUAUAUUUUAUAAUUUUGAAUUAUAUAAAUUGAAAAUAAAUAUUUAUGUGCAAAAGUAUGUUUCAGAUUCUUUUGGGAGCAGGAAGAUAUUUUUCAUGACUGGUUCAAAAGAAUUUGUUUCUUAUUUUUAUAAUCAUAAUAAAAAUUUAUAUAAUAAAUUUGAGUUUUUAGAAAAUUAUUGUAUUUAUACCUUUUAAAAUUGUGUUAGAACCGUGUUAAAAUUUUCAAAAAUCCAACAAAUUUUUUUAAAUUGAACACUUCACGAUAAAUGUCGUGUCGACACUUAUACGUGUGUCCGAGUCUCAUAGUAAAGAUCUAAAACGUUACCCUUAUUUAAAUACUCAUCUAAAUUAUUUAUUAUACUUAACUGUUAAUUUUUAUAAAUAACAUAUAUGUUCUGUUAAAACAAUAGUAUUUUGGACUGAUUGGAUUGCUCGAACUGAAAAAAUAAAAAUAAAAAUGAAUUAAUAAUAUUUAAUUGAUUUUACUUCGGUUAGUUUUAAAGAUUUUCAUAGUUAAUUAAAAUUAAAUUAAUCCAUACCAAUAUAUAUAAUAUAGGGAUUCCAUUAUUCAUUUUUUUUUCUAAAAUUACUUAGAUAUAAUUAUUUUUUCUACCUAAAAGUCACAAUUUGUUAACAACUUAUUCUAGUUAGAAAUUUGAUUUUAUAAAGAUUUUAAUUGAGAUUCUUAAACAUGAGUAGGUUUUUGUUCAUUGGUGCAUUUCAUGUUGUGAUAAGUUUUAUAAUGAAAGUUUAUAACUAUUAAAUCUUAAUUUAAAUUGUGAUAUACGGUUGUUUUUCAAUUAUCGAUUAUUUAAAAUAUUGUAAAAAUUUAAAUUUAGAUAGAGAUAAAAGAUGAAAAAUUAAAACAGAUAAACAUUCUAAAAAAUCAAUUGUAAUUUGUAAAUACAAAAAUAAAAGGUAUUUUGUGAUGAGUGAAGUAUAAUUCUUUAACUUGUUAGUAGGGAAAUACACCUUUAAAAAAGAGAGUGAUGAUAUGUUAAAACUGUAUACAGUAAAAUCAUAUAUAUAACAUAAUAACAAAUUAAUAUUUUAAUAAUAUUUAUUUUAUUUUUUAAUUUAAAAUAUUAUUAUAUUAUUAUAAGGAGGUAUGAAGUGUGUUGUUUACUAUUCACAGAAAUGUCAAACAAAAUUUUCCAUCAAGAUUCAAGAAAAGAAGAAAUGCAGAAUAUGAAAUUUCCUACCUAAAAAAAUAACUACUUUAUAAUAUAAUUUUAAUAUAUUUCUUAUAUAAUAUAAGUACUUUAAAGUUAGUUUGAAAUUUAGUGAUAUAACUAAAAUUUUCUGUAUUUAUCUUUGCUUUAUGGGUUAGAAUCAGUGGUUACACUUUGUUCUAAAUUCUGGCAUUCUUAAACCACUAAUAAAAUUCCAUUGCUUCUAAAAACAAAUUUGGCACACUUUCUGCUACAAUUCUCUCUUCUUUAAACCACUAAUAAGAUUCCUUUGCUUUUCAAAACAAAAUUUAAAUUUAUUCAGUGUAGGACAAAAACUUAACUGAACAAAAAAAUUGUUUGAGUUUUGUAAUUAUAAAAUGUUGGUUAUAUAAAUAAUUUUCUUCACUUUACGAGUAACUCUUCAAAAAAAAUUUAAUAUCUUCAAGUUUUAAAAAUAAACAUCCUUGAUUGUUUAUUGUAUUCAUAAUGAGAUUCGUUUAUAUUUUUUAAAAAAUUAUUAUUUUAAUAUGAUUCUCAAUUAAAAAAGAGGUAUUUAUAAAGUAUAAAAAUCUAUUCAUAUAAAUAAUUUUCUUCAAUUUAUAAAUAAUUUUUUUAAUUUAAAUAAUCAAUAUAUAUAUAAGACUUAUAUUAAAAUGAUUUUUUUAUUUAUUAUAACACUCUUUCGUAGAUAUCCAUCUAGAUGCUAUGAAGGUACAGUAUAUUUUAUUGACGUAAAUCGUUUGGAUUAAGUGGAUUUUUUUGGAUUAAGAAAAAUUAAGUAAAAAGUGAGAAGAAAAAUAGAAAUAAAUUUAAUUGAUGUGAUAGAAAAAAUUAAUUGAAUAGUAUUGCGAAUUAUUAAAAUAUUUUUUAUUUUAUUUUAAUGAGAAUGAAUAUAAAUUAAUAUUGAAAGGUGAUUAGUUAUAAAGUUAUUAUUUUAUAAAAUUAAAAAAUAAAUUCCAAAAUACAAUAUAUUUAAAUAAUUAAUUUUAAUCAUAUAAUUAUUUUUGACAUUUAAAAUAUGUUUUUCUUAAUUAAAUUAUUUACAUUAUUUUAUCCUGAUAAUAUAUAAGGACUAAAUUUAUAAAUAAUUGGAUAAAUUUUGUAAAUAUUUAUAAGGUUUAAUAAAAAAAUAUUUCAUAUUUAUUUAAUUUUAAUAUGUUUUUAAAUUAUAUAGUAACAUAGCAUUAUAUUAAUUAUUUUUUUCCUUUCUUCUUUUAUACAAUUAUAUUGGUUGAGAGAAUUUAAUUUAAUACAAUUCAUGCUUACUAAUUCUAGUUUCACAUUAUAUGCUUAAUAAUAAUAGUAUUUUAUUUUGUAUAAUUAUUUAAAAUCUAAAAGUUAAACAUUUAACUUAUAAAAUAAUAAUUCUUUCAUCUAAAAAAAUUAAAAAGUGUUGAAUCAAAUUCUAUAUAACUUUAUUCCACAAGGAAAGGAGUGGCAACCAUGCUAAAGAAAUAGUACUUGUCUCACUCCAAGUAUAACGGGUCUUAUUGGUAGUCAUAAAUCACUAGGCAUAAUGAAUCAAAUAAAAUCCUUUUGUUUCAUUUUAUAUCUUGCCAUUGCUCUAAGUAUUAUCGUAAUGGUCUUUAUAUAGUAUACUGUGGACAAUUUUAAGAGCAACAAAUUAUAUUUUCAAAGCAAUAACAUAAUACACUUAAUUCUUUGAUAAUGUAAGUAAGAAACAAAUAGCUAAAAGAGAAAGACAAGACAUAUAUUCUUGUUCAAUCUAUUCUGUUGACAGUUUUAUAUUGUAGUUACUGGUUUCCAGUUUGAUGUCUUUUGGUCUUGGUCCGAUCUUAUGAUGUGCUUCCAGAACCAAUGGUUUUCAAAAAGAAGAUAAAUUUCCUCAAUUGGGACCUUCUUUGUUUCCGGCAAAAGGAAGAAAACGAAGCAACUCAUGAAGAUAAUUAAGCCAGCAAAGAGCAAGAAGAUUCCAUAUUUGAGGUGGCAAAGUGACAUGAGGAACAACUGAGCAACAAGUGCAGUGAAGAUCAUGUUCACACACACCACAAUACUCUGUGCAGCUGAUCUUAUCUCCAAUGGGAAUAGCUCACUGGGAACCAACCACCCAAGAGGACCCCAAGAUCUUCCAUAUGCCAAUACGAACAAGAAAAUCACAAUAACCAGAAAGGCACUGAUUCCUUUCCCAAGUUCUUUGCCAUGUCCAAACUCCAGAGCCAAAACCACAGCUGUAAUAAUCUGCAAAGCAAUAAAAAAAGGUCCAAUAAGCAAUUCCAUUAAAAGCGUUGCAUUUGUUUGAUAAAACUAAAGCUUGAACAAGUAGUUACCAUGCAGCAUAUCAUUUCAAAUCCAGCUUCCAGAAAGAAUUUUCUUCUACCAAACUUGUCAACCAAAAACAUUGAGAUCACAGUGGCAACAAGAAGAGCCCCAUUGGUAAUAAAAGAUGAAAAGAGAGCAGCAUUAGCACCAAAUCCCAAGCUCUGGAAAAUGACAGGGGCAUAGAAGAGGAUGGAGUUAUUGCCAGUUAGCUGCUGGAAUGCUGGAAUCCCCAAGGCACCUAUGAUCAGUUGUGGCCUAUACUUCCUCCUCAGGAGUGUCUUAAAUGGGCUCUUGAUAGCUCUUGCUUCUUCACUUGCUUCCUUAAGAUCUUCAAAUUCAGCAUCAACAUUCUUCGUACCUCUAACUCUUUCCAAUACUUUUCUUGCUUCAUCCAACUUUCCUUGCUCCACAAGGCUGUUAGGUGUCUCAGCACAGAGAAGACCACCAAUGAGCAUAAGAACUGCCGGAACACCUGCCAAACCCAGCGAUAUCCUCCAUCCAUGCGGAUGGAUUUUGUUGGUAAAGUAAUUCACUAGGUUUGCAAUUAAGAUUCCAGCACAAGUUGUGAAC